AAAGGUCAAAAACAACCGCCACAACAAGGGGAUAUAAUUUUUAAAAGACAUCCUUCCCCACCCCGGGAUGUCUUCUCCGCGUUUGGAAGCGCCCUUCCUAUUUUCCCAAUUAAUUCGAGUUUUUAAAAUAUCUAAACGCGCCACGACUUCCUUCAGGUUCUCCCCCGCUCCACGAGGCGUCUGAGGCGCAGCUCCCGGAUGGAUCGCACGUGGGGCCGCAGACCCUGGGCGCCCGGACGUCAGCCGGAGGCGCGGGGAUCUCGUGGCUCCGCUGCGAACCUGCGGGGUGUGGGUAUUUGCUGCGCUUUCUUGGGUGAGGGUUGGGCCCCUUCCCUUCCACCUUCCUCCACUCCUGUGCAUGAUACCCUGGCUGGGGCCUGGGGCGUCCUGCGCUGGCCAGAAGUCAGGGUCACCAGGGACUCUCCGUUCUCGCUCCCGAAGAGGGGACUUGCGCGGACGGCGAGGAGGAUCGAUGCGUUCCUGAGUUCCCAGGGAAACGAGGCCGCGGCUGUUGUCACGUCGCGAGGAAGAUUUAUGAGGCGCGGGCCGAGCAUGGCCCGGCCCGGCGGAGGCCGCCCGCGCACCCAGGCUAAUCUUUGAUUUCCAUCUGAUUAUUUUUUUUUUCCUGCCAUCUCCAAGUCGGCGUCCGGAAAGGCGAACAAAGGGAGGAGGAUGGGGGAUGGGGGCGCCAAGCGGUGGCGAGGGCUCGGUCCGGCAACCUUCCUCCUCAGUGGGGGCCCUUGGGCGCCCCAGGCUCGCGCCCAAUGCGGGGCCCAGGAGGGCGCAGUUUGAAAGGUGACCGGGCUGGGGCUGUCGGAGACCCGCUCUGCGGGGUGGCCCUUCUAGCCGCUAGGCCCACGACAGGACUUCUAGGGAGGGGUCCCUGCAAAUGCCCUUGGGCGAAGAGAGGACGGAAAGAAUAUUCUCCCUUAAAUUGCAAUUAAGGGUGUGCGGGGCGGGGGUGCUUGGGGGGUGCUGCGGCAGGCCGGGUUCGCUCAACCGGAGGCAGCAGCUCAGCCCUGGGCCGAUAAGGCCGAGGG
rnacentral:lncRNA from 1 species